UGUUUUCUGAAAAUUGUUUUUUAUGGGGAUUGAUUUACCUAUCUACAUUGGAAAAUGAAUUUUAGAAUAGAACGGCGAUAUACUUACUAUACCGAUUUAUUGAGUUUGUGUAGGAUUGGCUGUUCUGAUUGUUUGAAACGUUAGACGAUGAACAAUUGCUGCCACUGGAUCAGGCGAUGACCUCAGAUCGCCAAUAGCGACCGCACACGCUGAAAAUGGGAAAUCAUUGAAGCAAAAUGUUCCAAAGAUUUGUUACUACUACAAUGGCACUGGCUGUAAAAGGGCAGGUUCUUGUACUUACAUACAUAUGUGCAGGAGUUACGUAGAAAGUAGGUGCGAAGCCGGAAAAUACUGUAAUAAAAGUCAUGAUAUUCUCAAUCCGACUGUUAAGGCAAUACUAGCAAAACAUGGAAUAAAUACAAAUAGAAGACCGAGUGAAAUCAUAGCCGACUUGCAAGCGGCCAUUAAAGGUGAUGACAACAAGAGCGAUCGUACCGUACGUGGUGACACAAAAGCCGAAAAUGGGAAAUCAUUGAAGCAAAAUGUUCCAAAGAUUUGUUACUACUACAAUGGCACUGGCUGUGAUAGAGCAGGUUCUUGUACUUACAUACAUAUGUGCAGGAGUUACGUAGAAAGUAGGUGCGAAGCCGGAAGAGACUGUAAUAAAAGUCAUGUUGUCCUCAAUCAUACUGUUAAGGCAAUACUAGGAAAGCAUGGAAUAAAUACAAACAAAAGACCGAAAGAAAUCAUAGCUGACUUGCAAGCGGCCAUUAAAGGUGAUGACAACAAGAGCGAUCGUACCGUACGUGGUGACACAAAAGUUCCUGAUGAAGUGGCUUAUGAUCCUUACAAGUUGUUGUUAUAUAAAAAAGCAAUCCGUAAAGGAAAGGAAAAAGAAAACACACUUCGCAUAAACAUCAUUGGUAACUAUGCCCAGGGUAAAACGUCAUUAGCAAACAGAUUGAUUGGUAAAACUUGCGAAGGCGUGACCACUACAAAUGGUAUAGAAAUCAACAGAUACAAAUGUCAGACAUCAGACGAUGGAGCCCAUACAUUUGUAUCUUCUGAAAAUGAAAACCAUGAGUUUGUUAGUCGAGCUGCAUCAGUUGCACGUUCAAUAGAACAAACAAUAAAAUCAGAUAAAGGUGGAACAGAUUUAGAAGAGAACUUGACAUAUGAUUUUUUGGAUCAAACCAUGCCCGGACAAGAAACUUCACAAGAUCAAUCGCAGCCAAUUGAGAUAAGCCCUAACGUCUCUGUUGAAGUUGUUGCAAAGAAAUUCAACGACGCGGGGAAUUUUGUCCAGCCUGUAUCAUUGCAAACACCUCAAGUCAACGAGGGAAAACUUCUGGCACUGUCUUCUGGUGAGAUGGCAACAUUUUCUAACGUAGUAGAAGUUCAAAAGGACAGCCCUGAAAAAUUCUUUGAUAUUUGGGACUUUGGGGGUCAGUACAUAUUUUAUGCUACCCAUACAUUGUUUCAUAGCAGGAAAGCUUUAUACCUUUUGGUUUUUGACUUAACGAAGCCUUUGGAUACAAUAGUAUUAGACGAAGAGUUUCCUGGAGAAACUGGGGAUAGAAAUAUGGAAUAUUUUGCGAGAUUUUGGAUGGAAUCUAUUCAUGCAUAUGCUGGACCUGACCCACAAGUUAUACUGGUUGGUACGCAUAAAGACAAGCUUCUGGGAAAUGACCGAUUAUGGAAAGAAUAUUUCGACAAUAUAAGACGUUUGUUUGAUGAUACUGAACUUAUCUACCAUAUCCAGAAGGAAGACUUUGCUGUGGAUAAUCAUGAUAUGUCAGAUCCUGACAUCGCAGAUCUCAUUGCAUUUAUCUUUGAAAAAGAUGAAAAGCAAGUUCACCCUGUCGAGAUCCCAGCGCGCUGGAUGCAACUAGAAAAAGUUCUACGAGCACAGAAAACACCUAUUAUCUCAUUUCAAGAUGUUGUAGAAUUAGACAAGCGCAAUGAGUAUCCUCUGUUUGAUGAAGAACAACUAAAACUUUUCCUUCAUUAUCAUCACGAAAAAGGCUCAUUAUUUUUCUAUGAUGAAGACCAGUUAUCAGACUUCGUUUGUUUGGAUCCAAAAUUCUUAAUAGAUGCUUUUAAAUGCAUUAUUACUUCGGAACAGUUUUAUAAAAAUGACCCUGACAUCCGUUCCCUUUGGAAAGUUUUGUCAAAAGAAGGCCGACUAACGCGUCAACUUAUUAACAAGGUUUGGUCCAACAGGCCGGAGUUUGUGGAACAUGAAGGUGUCAUCAUUGGAUUCUUACAGAAACAGAACAUUAUAUCAGAAGUAGCUGAAUACAAUACAAAGUCUGGAGAAAAGAAAAAGAAAGAUUGGUUUAUUGUUCCAAGUUUACUGAAGGAUCACAGCUCGAAAGAAGAAUUGAUGUCUUUUCUAGAUAGAAAAUCUCAGUCAAAAGUUCGAUAUUUGAUGAAGUUUGAUAAAUCAUCGAUUGUACAUCUGACCUUCCAUAAAGCCCUAGCUGCGGCACUUGGAACUUGGCCUGUUUUAAAGUGUGGUACGAAAAGGUUGCUAUUUGAAAAUUGAUGUGUUUUCAAACUCAUAAGAAACCAUGCAGGGAUUUUAGAGCAUAGAAAAGACAGUAAAACAAUUGAACUUAGAGUGAUAAAUCUUCUGCCUAAUCCAAUUGAAAUUCAUCCCACUGACGAGUUUAGACGUUUCGUUGAAGCAGUUGCACUCAAUGAAUUCAGAAGAUUGAAGUAUCAUCUGUCAGAAAAAAACAAACCCUUUAUUGAGGCUUACAGAUGCAACCACAUAGAUCAUGGCCAAGAAGGAAGCAGUGAGCUAAAUUAUUUCAAAGAAAAUGACGAUAUGCUUUGUCCUGAUAACAUUACUCAUGAUAACUUUGAUCUCAAAAGAGCAAAAGAAGAGUGGACAAUGGAAUACACAAGUGAAAUGUAUCCGAAAAUACAAUUAACAAACAAGACUCUGAGUCGGUUGUCUCAGGUAGCAAUCGGUACAAACUGGAGACUUCUUGGAUCUCAACUUGGAAUUGCAGAAGCCGAGAUAGACCAUAUCAAAGAACAGCACCAACGAAUUAAGAUGCAAAUCUAUGAAAUGCUUCGAAAGUGGAAGGAUAGAUCUGCCGAGAAAGCGACAUUGGACCUAUUAGUUGACGCUAUAAAGAAAUAUCCAAAAGUUAGCAUUUACUGGGAUGAAAUCAAAAACACUAAAGAUGAAUAUGUUAGAAAACUGGAAAAACUAGAAAUAGAUUUUACUCAGCCUUUAUCAAACAGGAUUGUCACAGUCAAUGAGACUUUGAUUUUGGAGUGUGAAAUUAUCAAGCC
rnacentral:misc_RNA from 1 species